AUUGAACGCUGGCGGCAUGCUUUACACAUGCAAGUCGAACGGCAGCGCGGGGCAACCUGGCGGCGAGUGGCGAACGGGUGAGUAAUACAUCGGAACGUACCCAGAAGUGGGGGAUAACGUAGCGAAAGUUACGCUAAUACCGCAUACGUUCUACGGAAGAAAGUGGGGGACCUUCGGGCCUCAUGCUUUUGGAGCGGCCGAUGUCUGCUUAGCUAGUUGGUGAGGUAAAGGCUAACCAAGGCGACGAUCAGUAGCUGGUCUGAGAGGACGACCAGCCACACUGGGACUGGGACACGGCCCAGACUCCUACGGGAGGCAGCAGUGGGGAAUUUUGGACAAUGGGCGCAAGCCUGAUCCAGCAAUGCCGCGUGAGUGAAGAAGGCCUUCGGGUUGUAAAGCUCUUUUGUCAGGGAAGAAACGGCUGGGGUUAAUACCUUCGGCUAAUGACGGUACCUGAAGAAUAAGCACCGGCUAACUACGUGCCAGCAGCCGCGGUAACAC
rnacentral:rRNA from 1 species